rnacentral:siRNA from 1 species
GCAACUGGAGGUGCUACUCCUG